UGAUAUUAUCGUGUAGAUUUAGGGAUUAUGAUGUAGAUUGUGUACGUUUAGGUGAGAUGUGUUUAUCGAUUCAGUAGACGUGUAAUGUGUUCUUCGCAUCUGGUAAAUGUGUUCUGUUAUCGAUGAAACUGAGAUGUAUGAUGAGUUUAUGAUCUAGAUUGUGUAAUUAUUUGUUGUUUAUUUAAAAUGUAUUUUUUAUAUCUAAUCACACAUUAAAAUAAAUAUUAUAAAAUAU
rnacentral:lncRNA from 1 species